rnacentral:RNase_P_RNA from 2 species
GGGCGUAGGUGGACGGUUGACGGCGGAUAUCGCUGAGGAAAGUCCUCCCUCGUUCUGAACCAGGAAACUGUGUAAGCAGUAAAGGCGAGAGUCUUUGCAGAGUCGCAGAAACGACACAGCUCAGGAAUAAUGCUAUGAUUCACUAUAGGUGAUGAGGUCUUCUUGAGAUUUGAUGAAACGGACAAUCUGCUCCUGGAGCAAGUCCAAAGUUUGAGAUCAGUUGUUCAGACUGCUCAUAGGUAGGACGCAUAGUAGAAUACCGUUUAAAACAGAAGGAGGCUUAUGGCCUACACCC